ensembl:lncRNA
CAAGAAUGAUAAAUGAGGUUCAAUGUGUGUUCGGUUUCCACUUCACCACACUGGAAAUUUCCACUACCACCAAUAUUGUAAACAUUCUUCUAUGGUCUGAAACACAGAAGAAUGUCAACAGCGUGACACAACACGUUAAACAGCUCCUCCCCUUAUGGCCUGUUCAGGUAUAAAGACGUCACACCCAUAGCCACUGUGCAGCCAGUCUCAUUGAGUGCCCCGAGGGGACGGGCUGCGCCGCACGUUUUGAAGACAUUGUGGUGCCGAGGCGGUUUUGGUCGUGUGUGGGUGUGUGAGACAGACACGCUGGAAUGUAAACCAGAAACUGGAGGGUCUGAAGCCGGAAAAAUGUAACUGAACGCAUGAUCCACCAAGGGAUGUGUGGUUGCCAGAUGUGUGGUUGACGUCGUUCCUUCAAUCAAGUUUGAGGUAUUGUGACGAUGUCAAACGGAUGCAGGACAAAUGCAGGGAGAACUGAGGACAUUUAAUAAAUGAAACAGAACUGACAGGAACAAAACAGAAUAUUGGAUAAAAGAACUGGGAUAGACAGGAACAAAAUUAAACACAGAAUAGUAUGGAACAACGCUACAUGUGGUAAAACCUAUAUAAUGUAUUGAGGUUAAAUACUUUUUAUUUUUUUAUGUAAAAAAUUUCGUAUAUGGAAAUUGUAUUUUGUUGCUAAAGACUUGGGCCCCCGAUCAGACGUCAUGUAAUAUCAAAGUGAUCAGUCUUUUUUUUUCUCAACCAGAAGGCAUGAAAGGUAGCUAAAACUUUCUAGUAAACUUUUAAGAGAAGACUACGAGCUGUUAUUAGUAAGAACUAAAUAAUAAAUUGGUCAACAAUCGGGGAUGGUGGCCGAUUAUAGAGGAUCAUAUAGUUUAGCUACAUCACUAACCAAUGAGCUGAAAAUAUGAAUAUUUCCACUGACAUUUCAGAAAUGCUAAUUAAUUACAUGCUAGUUAACAUUUGUGUGUCUCUAAUAAUCACUAAACAUUGACGACUUGAUCAAAUUAUUACUCGGUACAAGAAGAUAUACUUCAAAACUGCUUUUGGGUAUGCGCAUAAUAGGGGGUUCUUUGCUACACAACCAUCUUGUCUUUGAUGACAAUGCAAAAACACUCUUAAAGUGAGUUUCAAGAUUUUAGCAGUCUCGCAUAGCCACAUAAAUGACAGUAAGCAAAAGCCUUUGAAAAGUCAAUAAACAAAGUUAAACAAUUAGAUUUUUCAUUCAGUGCUGUAGCAAUAUCAUUCCUAACCAAUGUAGUGACGGUAAUAGUACUGUGCCCAUGUCUAAAACCAGAUUGAUUUUUAUUCAGAAUUCCGCUAAAAAAUAACUGUAUUCUAAACAAAGACAGAUUUUGGUAGGCAUGAUAAAUCAGAAAUCUAGUAGUAACUAGUAACACAAGCAUUAUCUAGUGGCAGCACAUGGGUGGUUUUACACACUUUGGAAUAACUCCAGAAAUUAAUGUUGGAUUAAAAAUUCCAAAAAUAAGAGGAGCAGCACUGACCACCAGACCUGGUUAAAGUUUGUUGGCCCCUGUGUCUUUCUUGGUGUUGAUAGCUUACAAAGCAUUUAAGAUGUAUUUUACCGUGAAUGGAGUUGGUAAAAAAUAUUGGUAAUCAACAUCUAAUUGGCCCUGCAUGAAUGUUUGAUUCUCUUCACUUCCUUUUUGGUUUCCAUUUGGGGUGGUAAUGGCAGUUUUCUGAAAUAGAGAGUUUGCUACAUUGAAGUGGUGAUUGAAGGCAAUAUUUCUUAUAAGUAAUGAGCACAAGUCCACAAGAAUCUGUUUUGGCAAUGAGGCAGUGAAUAUCCUUGAACAAAUACAUUAGCCACAUGUGAAGAUAACAAAGAUAACAAAAUAUCUGAGAGAGAGAUUUCUGACAGUUCACAACUCUAUUAUAUUAGAGGAUCUAUUUGCCUUAAAGAAUAUGACAAUCAACAUCAUCCCCAUAUGCUUCAACAGCAGAUGGGAUUCACUUGAAUCCUGUUUAUGUAGCCUAAUUCUGCUCAUAUACCAGUGUUAGAAUCAGUGUGCUAAAUAAAACAACAAUCAGUAUCUUACCAAAAGAAGGGUUGGAGACCACAGAGGAGACCACUGAUUUCUAUUCAAUUAAAUGUCUUAAAUAAGCAUAAAUUAACAAACACUUUAACUGACAAUUUAGUGGAUAAUGUUCUGGUCAGUAUGUUAGUAUUUAUUUUGCAGAAAAUACCACAUUGACUUUCCAAAAAUGUAAUCGCUUGUUUUAUAUGCUGCUUUUUGAGUAAACCUGAUUAAAUAUAACCUUUAAAAAAUGUUGCAGAGACUCCUUUAACACAUCUCCAAUUGAGUACCUACUGUAACCAUAUCACAAGACAAAAAGUCAUAGAUCAAUAAUGCAUGUUUAAAGUGUCGGGAUGAAGCCUGUGUUCUGACUAUUGUACACCAGUGUACAUUAUGUAUUACAAACAAACACAUUACUGUAUGAGUUAUUACAUACAGUAUACACACAAACACAUUACUUUAUGAGUUAUCACAUACAGUAUACACACAAACACAUUACUUUAUGAGUUAUCACAUACAGUAUACACACAAACACAUUACUUUAUGAGUUAUCACAUACAGUAUACACACAAACACAUUACUUUGAGUUAUCACAUACAGUAUACACACAAACACACUUGAUUUAUUACAUCUUAGAUUAGAUUGUGUUUCCAUCGCCAUCACCAAUAUAUCUGUUCUCUGCUUCAGUUCUAAGUAUCUUCUAAAUAUCAACUUGAAAUUGCCAAACAAAAUGGAUUACUUAAAUGUAACAGAACAGAAAUGCAUGUUUAAAGUGUCGGGAUAAAUCCUGGGUUUUGACCACUGACCUGCUUCUGUUGCUGGAAACAGCAGACACUGCAUAUGACAGUAAUUUUAAAGAAGUGUCUGGGGUAAGAAAAACAGUUACGAACAAUUGUGCACUAAUGUACGUCUUAUUACAUAAAACACAUUACUGUAUGAGUUAUCCCAUAAACACACAAACACACCUGAUUUAUCUUCUAUACACACAAACCGAUACUACCAGAGUUAAUGCAUCACACAUAAUACAUUCCAUUCUCAACUAUGCUCCAUCAACCCAGAUUAAAAUCUGUGGACCUAACAAAAAUUGCCUGCACACUCUGAAUGGAAGUGAUUAUCAGGCAAAGACAAUCACCUAUAAACAUGAAACUAUACGCACGAUAACUGCCUUGUCAGACACAACAUUUCAGAGAGUGAAAACCUGCAGAGACUCGGCCCUCCAUGGAACCUGUUUGACACCUCUGCAUUAUUCUGUUUAAGGUACUAUAACGGUUGGUCACAGGGUACACAGACAUUACCAAUCUACAAACAAGGUGUUAGCAGGUGGAUUAAUGCAAAACAAAGUCUUGGGACUGUUGGUGAAGAGGGUUUGACUUUAGGGAGGCAGGGUGGGCCUUUAUGUUCAAUUGGUUUUUGGAGGAAGAUUACGUUGUGGGACGCAAGGAGAGAUAUUCCAAUUUCCACGCAUCCAUUGAACUAACGUAUGUGUAGUUUACUAACACGGAUGAAACGAUACACCAAGCCUUUGCUUAGGUGGAAAAGAUUUAUGAACAACUGACUCGUUAAUUUUUAUCAUUCAAUUGUUUAGUUCAUUCAAAUGGCUGCCAGCGGAGUUCUACCCCAACCACUGAAUGCCCUACACUCCUCCCAACCACUGAAUGCCCUACACUCCUCCCAACCACUGAAUGCCCUACACUCCUCCCAACCACUGAAUGCCCUACACUCCUCCCAACCACUGAAUGCCCUACACUCCUCCCAACCACUGUUAGUUUAACGUUUGCAAAAAUCAAGCUGGCAGCAUUAUGAAGACGCGUAUAAUGAAUGUAUAUACAGUAUCUCACAAAAGUGAGUACACCCCUCACAUUUUUGCAAAUACACUUUGCUACAAUGUAAAGUAGUGAGUGUACAGCUUGUAUAACAGUGUACAUUUGCUUUCCCCUCAAAAUAACUCAACACACAGCCAUUACUGUCUAAACCGCUGUCAACAAAAGUGAGUACACCCCUAAGUGAAAAUGUCCAAAUUGGGCCCAAAGUGUCAAUAUUGUGUGUGGCCACCAUUAUUUUCCAGCACUGCCUUAACCCUCUUGGGCAUGAAGUUCACCAGAGCUUCACAGGUUGCCCCUGGAGUCCACCUCCACUCCUCCAUGACGACAUCACAGAGCGGGUGGAUGUUAGAGACCUUGCGCUCCUCCACCUUCCGUUUGAGGAUGCCCCACAGAUGCUCAAUGGGGUUUAGGUCUGGAGACAUGCUUGGCCAGUCCAUCACCUUUACCCUCAGCUUCUUUAGCAAGGCAGUGGUCGUCUUGGAGGUGUGUUUGGGGUCGUUAUCAUGUUGGAAUACUGCCCUGAGGCCCAGUCUCCGAUGGGAGGGGAUCAUGCUCUGCUUUAGUAAGUCACAGUACAUGUUGGUAUUCAUGGUUCCCUCAAUGAACUGUAGCUCCCCAGUGCCGGCAGCACUCAUGCAGCCCCAGACCAUGACACCCCCAUCACCAUGCUUGACUGUAGGCAAGACACACUUGCCUUUGUACUCCUCACCUGGUUGCCACCACACACGCUUGACACCAUCUGAACCAAAUAAGUUUCUCAUCAGACCACAGGACAUGGUUCUAGUAAUCCAUGUCCUUAGUCUGCUUGUCUUCAGUAAAUUGUUUCUUUAGAAGAGGCCCCCCGCCCUUUCAACAUCUGCAGCAAUGCUGGCAGCACUCAUUCUUCUAUUUCCCCAAGACAACCUCUGGAUAUGACGCUGAGCAGGUGGACUCAACUUCUUUGGUUGACCAUGGCGAGGUAUGGUCUUCUGAGUGGAACCUGUCCUGUUAAACCGCUGUAUGGUCUUGGCCACCGUGUUUGCAGCUCAGUUUCAGGGUCUUGGCAAUUUUCUUAUAGUUCCCUGCACACCGUUCCGAUUCAGGUGCUCCCUGUAACUAGCAUACAACUCUUUUUCGACAAAUUUUAUAUAUUCCUUGUAACUGUAAUAUUUUGUAUCCUCAUAGUAGAUAAGCAUUUCAUUGUCAGUCGGCACCUACAAUACAAUUAGAUAUCCUUAAAUACUGAGCUUGUCUUAAGUGUGAGGCAAGUUUACCUGGUCCACAUUUACCUGGUCCAUUGUAUGAGCCAAUCACUCAAGAAUGCAAUUCAGCAACUCUGCAGUUUUCAAUGCAAA